rnacentral:lncRNA from 12 species
UUUUCCCAGUGGUUUAAAAUACAUACUAGAACUCAUUUAGGUGUUUCAAACAGUGAACUCUGUGAUCAAAUGAUGUUCUGCUGAGGCACCUGAGCACUGCUCCACUGCUCACCCUCUCCUCCAAAGAGCAGCCAGGCACCUUCUGGAUUGAAGCAUUCUGCCCAUGGAGGGCUCAGGACAAUGGGACAACCUCAUCCGUAUGGCAUCACCUGCGGGCUAGCGAUGGACAACGGAGAGCUGGACAUGAGUCCAGCCCCCAGGAGCACCUGGCUGCCCUUUGCAGUGAGCACCAAGUCCCCAGGGCGUUCAGAGGGUCAGCUCACCCACUGCAGCUGCUGGGGCACUAGCACUGGAGUUCGGGUGGUGCCUUGGAAAUGAAGCUGUUUGCGUGGAGAUGCUCAUGGGACUGAGGAAAGGAGAUGAGAAAAAUUCUCCUCAGCUGAUAGAGGCUGGGUGAGCAAAG